rnacentral:rRNA from 1 species
UGGGGAAUAUUGCACAAUGGGGGAAACCCUGAUGCAGCAACGCCGCUUGAAGGAUGAAGUUUUUCGGAUUGUAAACUUCUUUAGUCAGGGACGAAUAUAUGACGGUACCUGAAGAAUAAGCCACGUCUAACUACGUGCCAGCACCCGCGGUAAUACGUAGGUGGCGAGCGUUGUCCGGAAUUACUGGGUGUAAAGGGCGUGUAGGCUGGAAUGUAAGUCAGAUGUGAAAUCCCAGGGCUUAACCCUGGAGCUGCAUCUGAAACUAUGUUUCUUGAGUGCCGGAGAGGAAAGCGGAAUUCCUAGUGUAGCGGUAAAAUGCGUAGAUAUUAGGAGGAACACCAGUGGCGAAGGCGGCUUUCUGGACGGUAACUGAAGCUGAGGCGCGAAAGAGUGGGGAGCAAACAGG